AUAAGAGCAUAAAUAAAAGUAAGAAGUAAAAGAAGAUAAAAAUAGUAAAACCAGAAAGAAGACAACUACGAUGCGGAGAGUGGAUGUGGCUACUCAGCCUGGAGAAUAAAGACCGUCCAGUCCCAGAGAUGCUCAACCAGCACUUCCAGUCCAAAAUGGUCAAAAGCGCAAGAGGGGAUUGUUCCUCCUGAUUGACCAGCGACUGAGAUAAAUGCUUCGAGGCAAUCUCCUUCUUGAAGCAUUCACCCGACGCAUCCAUCAUCAAAGAGAAGAUGAGAGGCAACGUUUCAAUGGUUCAAGACCAGCAAAGACUCCUCAACAGUCUUGGAUGUUUUCCUGGAUAUACCCGGUUUGAUUGACCAGGUCUUCUCCAUGAUGUUUGGAGCAGAGGUUUCUGGCAGAUUGUUGACAAAAUGGCCACCAUACUUCAAGCCUAGGAUCCUGACAAACCUGAUUUCCAACGAGCGUGUUGAUGAACUCUUGGCAGCGCAGAAUAACUCGGGUGAAUCUGGCCGGACCAGUGACCUCUCAAGCACAUUGGUUCACCUUCUUGGGUGAACCAAUGGAGCUAAGAGGAGAGCUAAGAAGAGAAAGCAUAAGCCUUCUGUACCAGCGGUGAUUAUGGGGAACGGGAGGUUUU